rnacentral:rRNA from 1 species
AUGGCGACCUCCACCGCCUCCUCCUCCUCCCUCACCGCCCCUCUCCUUGGCCCCAAACCCAGCCCGAAUCCGCCCCCCAGAUCCCUCCCGCUCCUCAGGAGUCGGAGGUGCGCUCGGUCCGUGGCCGCCUCUGCCGGCGGCGGCGGAGUGGGACUCCACGGGGCUGCUCACAGGCGCGGGAUUUGGUCGAUCAGGGAUGACUUGCUGAUGCCUAGGUCGCCCUACUUCCCAGUGGAGGCCGCGGGGCAGGAGCGCGGGCCCUCCCCCAUGGUGAUGGAGCGGUUCCAGAGCGUCGUCAGCCAGCUCUUUCAGCACAGAAUUAUCCGAUGCGGCGGUCCUGUGGAGGAUGAUAUGGCCAACGUCAUUGUUGCGCAGCUGCUAUACCUGGACGCCGUUGAUCCUAACAAGGAUAUCAUUAUGUAUGUGAACUCUCCAGGAGGGUCAGUGACAGCUGGGAUGGCCAUAUUUGAUACAAUGAAGCAUAUCAGGCCUGAUGUUUCCACAGUUUGUAUCGGACUUGCUGCAAGUAUGGGUGCUUUCCUACUCAGCGGCGGGACGAAAGGGAAGAGGUACAGCUUACCUAACUCAAGAAUAAUGAUCCAUCAGCCUCUUGGAGGAGCCCAAGGACAAGAGACCGACCUUGAGAUCCAGGCCAAUGAGAUGCUGCACCACAAGGCCAACUUGAACGGAUACCUAGCAUACCACACUGGGCAGCCCCUGGAUAAGAUCAAUGUAGAUACUGACCGUGACUUCUUCAUGAGCGCGAAAGAGGCGAAGGAGUAUGGCCUUAUCGACGGAGUAAUUGUGAAUCCUCUUAAAGCACUUCAACCACUUCCAGCUUCCAGUUAG